rnacentral:rRNA from 1 species
AUUGAACGCUGGCGGCAUGCCUUACACAUGCAAGUCGAACGGUAACAGGUCUUCGGAUGCUGACGAGUGGCGAACGGGUGAGUAAUACAUCGGAACGUGCCUAGUAGUGGGGGAUAACUACUCGAAAGAGUGGCUAAUACCGCAUGAGAUCUACGGAUGAAAGCAGGGGAUCGCAAGACCUUGUGCUACUAGAGCGGCCGAUGGCAGAUUAGGUAGUUGGUGGGAUAAAAGCUUACCAAGCCGACGAUCUGUAGCUGGUCUGAGAGGACGAUCGGCCACACUGGGACUGAGACACGGCCCAGACUCCUACGGGAGGCAGCAGUGGGGAAUUUUGGACAAUGGGCGCAAGCCUGAUCCAGAAAUGCCGCGUGCAGGAUGAAGGCGUUCGGGUUGUAAACUGCUUUUGUACGGAACGAAAAGCCCUGGGUUAAUACCCUGGGGUCAUGACGGUACCGUAAGAAUAAGCACCGGCUAACUACGUGCCAGCCGCCGCCGUAA